UUAGCCUCCAAGUCUCCACCUUCUCUCAAGCUUCUCUCUAGAAAUUCUCUCCUCUUUUCCUCCUCAAAGUUCUUGGAGACAACCCUCCCAAGUUCUUUAAAAUCUAGAGAAUAGCAAGGUAACUUUGUUGGUGGUGUCCUUCUUCAUUGGAGAUGUUCGAGAUCGUUAAUAAUGGUGGAAGAGGAAAGCUAGAAGAAUCAACAAAGAUUAUCUAAAUGCAAGGCGUUCACAUGUUUCCGCGGGAAUUUGAUUCCUUCACCUCCAACUUUGACACUUAGUCAAAUUCAUGCUAUGCUGCCACUUAACAUCCUAAGGUGUCUACCACAAAAUUCUCCACUUCCUCCUUUGAAAUUUGGUCCAACUAGUGCAUGCAUAACCUAAUUCCUCAGCCAUCCUGCAUCCAAUUGUGCCCAUUUGUCAAGGCAUCAAACACCUAGAAGAUAGCUUUGAGCGUUAAUGCAUAAAUGAAGCCAAAGAGGACUAAAACAUAGCCUUGAUGAAGCAACCAAGUCAAGAAGAGGCGAAACAACAAGAACGCCCCUGCAAAAUGGGUGUUGUAGUGCCUAUGUGCGCUACUGCGCAACACCCUUCACAGGUACACAGUGCCUCGAUGCUACAGGCACGCAAGUAUCCUAGCACUGCGGAUGCCAGUCCUCGCCAAUGCGGCAUUGUGCACAGUGUUGCACCACCGCCCAUCGGUCUAAAUACCAUUUUCUCUCACUUUCUUAGUGCGUCUCUCAUUCAUCCAUCAUCCUGUCAGCUCCCAAUCCGAUUCUCUCCUCCCCUCCUCUUUUCCUCUACUUUUACUGAGUUUUUUUAGCAUUUUGGAUUGUAAUUUAAACCCUCGACUGGAUUAGUGGCUAAGGUAGGUUUGCUAGCACUUAGGAGUAGGAGGAACCCAUUUGUAUUGAUUAUACGGAUUUUCUGUUAAUUCAUA